rnacentral:pre_miRNA from 14 species
CUGACAGAAGAGAGUGAGCACAUGCAGGCACUGUUAUGUGUCUAUAACUUUGCGUGUGCGUGCUCACCUCUCUUUCUGUCAG